GCUCAAGUCUCUCGAAAACCCAAAAACCCUAGGACCCCCUUCACCAUAUAAUAAAUAAUAACUAAUAGGGAUAAAACUUAUACCUAUUAAGUCAAUGAAGAAAGAGAAGAAUCCAAUAAUCAAUUUCAUAAGACCCUCAAGUAUCAGUCCUCCAAUGUUGAUCCACAUCAGAAGUUGAUCAAAGAAUUGCUCCGGUAGAACCUUGUUUAUGAACUGCUUCACCAAUUGAGCAUUUUAGUCUAACCCA
rnacentral:lncRNA from 1 species